GAAAUCAUUCAUAGAGUGUAAAGGCAUAAGGGAGCUUGACUGCGAGACCUACAAGUCGAGCAGGGUCGAAAGACGGACUUAGUGAUCCGGUGGUUCCGCAUGGAAGGGCCAUCGCUCAACGAAUAAAAGCUACCCCGGGGAUAACAGGCUUAUCUCCCCCAAGAGUUCACAUCGACGGGGAGGUUUGGCACCUCGAUGUCGGCUCAUCGCAUCCUGGGGCUGUAGUCGGUCCCAAGGGUUGGG
rnacentral:rRNA from 1 species